UUAAAAAAACGGGAAGAUCUUCUAAAGUCGUCUAUCCGUUCGUAUAUUCUGUUCAGCUUUUAAUACGUCGGAUAAUUUUGACAUCGCUUUUCUAACAUUUUCGAAGAAUUUCUUUCCUUUUUUUUCUUGCUUUUCUUUCCUCAGGAUAAUAAAAUUACACGAAUCCUCAUUACGCCCUGUAUGUCUGCAUAUCGUCCAAAGAAAUUCUUUGGAGGGUAGAUUCGUAUAUAGGUAGAUAAAGAAAGAGAGGGAGAGAGAGGGAAAGAAGAAAAUGGGAGAAAGCCCGGAGCUAAUGGAAAAUGGUGUCUGACUAUAGCCCGUCCUGUACUACUUAAACCGGCAGAUGUUCCACUAGUACCAGGCGCGAGAUUAUCGAAACUCAAAUUUACGUUUAUUCUAUACAAACUUCUUUUUUUUUUAUCAACAAUAAUAUUUUCCCCGUUGUUUGCUCGUUUCUAUUCGAAUGUAAUAAUUCAUUUCUUAUAUAAUAGGAGAAGUAUAGUGAAAUUGAAAAAAAAUUACGUCUCGAAAAGUACGAACGUAAGGAAAUUUGAAAGUUUUUAUUCUCUGAGCUUUGGAUAUAGGUGUGUGUGUCUACAUAUAUAUAUAUAUAUAUAUAUAUAGAAAAAGAAAAAGGAAAAAAGAAUUAGCCUCAAACUUUAUUUAAGAAAGAAAGAAUUUUUGAUUCGGAAAACGUUGAAUAUAUUUCACGCGUAACUUUCCAAGAUGGUACGAUUUUACAAGGUUGACUUAAUAUGUGUUUUCUCUCUCUUUUUAUCUUUCUCUCUCUCUCUCUCUCUCUCUUCCUUUUUCCCUUUCUCUCUUUCUCUCUCUCCCUCUCUCUCUUUUUCUCUCUCGAUGAAUUCCAAAGACCACGACGUCGAGGAACACUGUAAAAUUUGCUGAGGGUGACUAGGAGGGACGUAACCAUAGCAAUGAGUGACCGAGGUAGGGGGGAGAGAGAGGGAAAGAGAGAUGUCCAUUGAUUUUCAGUGCCAUCUUGUCGCCGCUUCUGGGAGAAGUACCGCUUUUAGGGUGUACAUGGCGUAAAGGGCUGCACACACGCCCACCUUGCAUUUAUAAGUCAUUCAAACGAGAGAAUUUCGUAGAAGGUUGCGAUAAGUAGCGGGAACGAACGUACGAAUCGGCCAUUACUUUUAUUACCUUUAUCUAUCUUUACGGCGAGUGUCCAAGGAAAUUUUUUAUUUCAUUUUUUAAACAUUCAUUUGACUGAUGCAAAAGGAGAAACUUCAAUAUAUUCGUCUAUUACGUUUGGUAACGCAACGAUGUCAGAGAGGGUCUUCUAGUUCGAGAAUAAUAAAUAUUCGAAGUUACUGGAAAAGCAUGUCACUCUUAUAUAGUAACGAUCGGGAGGAAGUAAUCGGCAAAGGGGAGGAUCAAAGAAAGAAAAAAAAAAAAAGAAAAAAAGAAAAUCGACGGAAAAUUGAAGGAAAAAGGGAAACGUCAAAACUCACCUUGGAGAUUAAUCGCAGAAGGAAA